rnacentral:precursor_RNA from 8 species
GGAUUAUUGAACAGUGGUGUUCGGACAGGGUGAGGUAGUAGGUUGUGUGGUUUCAGGGUUGUGUUUUUGCCCCAUCAGGAGUUAACUAUACAACCUACUGCCUUCCCUGAAGGGCAGCAAAACAUCUCCAAACAAAG